UCCCUCUUAGCUCAGUUGGUAAAGAAUCUGCCUGCAAAGCAGGAGACCCGUGUUCAAUUCAUGGGUCAGGAA
rnacentral:tRNA from 1 species